UACAGAGGUCUCAAGCGUUGUUCGGAUUCAUUGGGCGUAAAGGGUGCGUAGGCGGCGCGGUAAGUCGGGUGUGAAAUCUUGGAGCUUAACUCCGAAACUGCAUUCGAUACUGCCGUGCUUGAGGACUGGAGAGGAGACUGGAAUUUACGGUGUAGCGGUGAAAUGCGUAGAUAUCAAGAGGAACACCUGCGGCGAAGGCGGGUUGCUGGGCCGACACUGACGCUGAGACGCGAAAGCGUGGGGAGCAAACAGG
rnacentral:rRNA from 1 species